CACGCCGUAAACGAUGAGUAUUAGGUGUCGGGGGUUACCCCCCUCGGUGCCGCAGUUAACGCAUUAAAUACUCCGCCUGGGGAGUACGCACGCAAGUGUGAAACUCAAAGGAAUUGACGGGGACCCGCACAAGUAGCGGAGCAUGUGGUUUAAUUCGAAGCAACGCGAAGAACCUUACCUAAGCUUGACAUCUCUCAGAUCGGUAGUUAAUCCUACCUUCCCUUCGGGGCUGAGAUGACAGGUGG
rnacentral:rRNA from 1 species